rnacentral:rRNA from 1 species
UACGUAGGGAGCAAGCGUUGUCCGGAAUCAUUGGGCGUAAAGCGCGCGUAGGCGGCCCUGUAAGUCCGUUGUGAAAGUCAAAGGCUCAACCUUUGAAAGCCGAUGGAUACUGCAGGGCUAGAGUCCGGAAGAGGCGAGUGGAAUUCCUGGUGUAGCGGUGGAAUGCGCAGAUAGUCAGGAGGAACACCAAUAGCGAAGGCAGCUCGCUGGGACGGUACUGACGCUAAGGCGCGAAAGCGUGGGGAGCGAACAGG